CCUACGGGAGGCAGCAGUGAGGAAUAUUGGUCAAUGGGCGGGAGCCUGAACCAGCCAAGUCGCGUGAGGGAAGACGGUCCUAUGGAUUGUAAACCUCUUUAGGCGGGGAGCAAGGCCGGGCACGCGUGCCCGGAGGGAGAGUACCCGCAGAAGAAGAAGCGGCGAACUCCGUGCAAGCAGCCGCGGUAAAACGGAGGAUGCGAGCGUUAGCCGGAUUUAUUGGGUUUAAAGGGUGCGUAGGCGGAUUUUUAAGUCAGCGGUAAAAUGUCCGGGCUCACCCCGGGCCUGCCGUUGAAACUGGGGAUCUUGAGUGGGCGUGAAGUAUGCGGAAUGCGUGGUGUCGCGGU
rnacentral:rRNA from 1 species